AGUGAACGCUGGCGGUAGGCCUAACACAUGCAAGUCGAACGGCAGCACAGUAAGAGCUUGCUCUUACGGGUGGCGAGUGGCGGACGGGUGAGGAAUACAUCGGAAUCUACUUUUUCGUGGGGGAUAACGUAGGGAAACUUACGCUAAUACCGCAUACGACCUACGGGUGAAAGCAGGGGAUCUUCGGACCUUGCGCGAUUGAAUGAGCCGAUGUCGGAUUAGCUAGUUGGCGGGGUAAAGGCCCACCAAGGCGACGAUCCGUAGCUGGUCUGAGAGGAUGAUCAGCCACACUGGAACUGAGACACGGUCAAGACUCCUACGGGAGGCAGCAGUGGGGAAUAUUGGACAAUGGGUGCAAGCCUGAUACAGCCAUACCGCGUGGGUGAAGAAGGCCUUCGGGUUGUAAAGCCCUUUUGUUGGGAAAGAAAAGCAGCAGGUUAAUACCCCGCUGUUCUGACGGUACCCAAAGAAUAAGCACCGGCUAACUUCGUG
rnacentral:rRNA from 1 species